rnacentral:rRNA from 1 species
UACGGGGGGGGUAAGCGUUGUUCGGAAUUACUGGGCGUAAAGGGCUCGUAGGCGGCCAACUAAGUCAGACGUGAAAUCCCUCAGCUUAACCGGGGAACUGCGUCCGAUACUGGUUGGCUUGAGUUUGGGAGAGGGAUGCGGAAUUCCAGGUGUAGCGGUGAAAUGCGUAGAUAUCUGGAGGAACACCGGUGGCGAAGGCGGCAUCCUGGACCAAUACUGACGCUGAGGAGCGAAAGCCAGGGGAGCAAACGGG